CAAGUCGAGCGAACAGACGAGGAGCUUGCUCCUCUGACGUUAGCGGCGGACGGGUGAGUAACACGUGGAUAACCUACCUAUAAGACUGGGAUAACUUCGGGAAACCGGAGCUAAUACCGGAUAAUAUAUUGAACCGCAUGGUUCAAUAGUGAAAGACGGUUUUGCUGUCACUUAUAGAUGGAUCCGCGCCGCAUUAGCUAGUUGGUAAGGUAACGGCUUACCAAGGCAACGAUGCGUAGCCGACCUGAGAGGGUGAUCGGCCACACUGGAACUGAGACACGGUCCAGACUCCUACGGGAGGCAGCAGUAGGGAAUCUUCCGCAAUGGGCGAAAGCCUGACGGAGCAACGCCGCGUGAGUGAUGAAGGUCUUCGGAUCGUAAAACUCUGUUAUUAGGGAAGAACAAAUGUGUAAGUAACUAUGCACGUCUUGACGGUACCUAAUCAGAAAGCCACGGCUAACUACGUGCCAGCAGCCGCGGUAAUACGUAGGUGGCAAGCGUUAUCCGGAAUUAUUGGGCGUAAAGCGCGCGUAGGCGGUUUUUUAAGUCUGAUGUGAAAGCCCACGGCUCAACCGUGGAGGGUCAUUGGAAACUGGAAAACUUGAGUGCAGAAGAGGAAAGUGGAAUUCCAUGUGUAGCGGUGAAAUGCGCAGAGAUAUGGAGGAACACCAGUGGCGAAGGCGACUUUCUGGUCUGUAACUGACGCUGAUGUGCGAAAGCGUGGGGAUCAAACAGGAUUA
rnacentral:rRNA from 1 species